AACAAGUACUGUCCUGUGGUUUCAUGGCCUUUCUUCAUUUGUGGUUCUAUUGCCAGUGGAAUUUCAAUGACAUCUUAUCAAGAUGGAUAAACCCAAGUUUCCCAGUGCUGGGAAUAGAGAAAUGGAUGGACAACUGGAUCUACCAUGAAAGACUUCUGAAUCCAGGAAGAGAGACUGACCGGGCAACAUGUUAUUCAGAAACAGGACCUUGCCUUGUCACUUAGGAUGGAGUUCAGUGGUCCAAUCACGGCUCACUGUAGCCUCAAACUCAAGCAAUCCUGCCACAUCAGCCUUCCCAGUAGCUGGGACCACAGACACAGCGUCUCACUAUGUUGCUCUGACUGGUCUCCAACUCCUGGCCUCAAGCGAUCCUGCUGCCUAGGCUUCCAAAAUUGUUGGGAUUACAGGCAUGAGCCAUAAUGCCUGACCUCUGCUAGUUCUGUAUUCUCUAGAGAUGUCUUUACUUUGUGCUAGUGUGUCCCUCAUUAUGCUGAUCCUCUGUUAAAAUUAAUACCUUUUUUUCUUUUGAGAUGGAGUUUCAUUCUUGUUGCCCAAGCUGGAGUGCAAUGGCGCUAUCUCGACUCACCGCAACCUCCGCCUGCCGGGUUCAAGUGAUUCUCCUGCC